AGAGCUACACUAUUUAAGGCGAGAUAUUAUUAAAGGUAUAUUAGCGAAGCCCUUUGAUAUAUCUUGUUUUAAACAGUGGCUUUCA